rnacentral:tRNA from 1 species
GGUGGCUCAGUGGUAGAGUGCUUACCUCAUAUGUAUGAGGCUCUGGGUUCGAUUCCUUAGUACCA